AAAAAAAAAACACCGCAACGUGAAUUAAAUCUCUAACUCUCCCCACAGAUCAUCGCAAAUCCAGCUCUAAGAAUGAAACAAAGCAGAGAAAACCCAGAACUAAAACACAAAAGAAUACAAAAAUAGCCAUCUUAAUCUACGGCAAACUAAGGUUUAUACGAUCAGACGACCAUCCGAGUUUUAAGCAAAUACUACAAUUAGCCCAACUCCUCCAAUCAGUGAUAACAAAGCUGCCACCCUGCUUCCAUGAACAAAAGCUCCUGAAUCCGGUGUCGAUGAGGCGGGAGGUGAAGUUGGGGUAGCUCCAGAACUUGAUGUUGGCGACCCGGUUGCAGGAGAUGGUGUUGGUCCCAUGAGUGCAGGAGGAGUAGCCAUUUCUGGCGCUGGUGACUCAGGUGUUGGUGCUGGUGCUGGUGGGCUCGAACUUGGACUCAUUGUUGGGGUAGCUGCGGGAGGAGAGGGAGAUGUUGGUGGGGGUGACAGUGGCGUGGCAGCAGGGGAAGGUGUCACGGGAGAGGAAGGCGGAGUUGCAGAACUUGUAGGUGGCAUUGCAGCGGCAGUUGGUGGUGAGGAUAUUGGACCUUGAGCAGUGGAGGAGGAUGCC
rnacentral:lncRNA from 1 species